rnacentral:rRNA from 1 species
CCUACGGGAGGCAGCAGUGGGGAAUAUUGCACAAUGGGGGAAACCCUGAUGCAGUGACGCCGCGUGAAGGAAGAAGUAUUUCGGUAUGUAAACUUCUAUCAGCAGGGAAGAAAAUGACGGUACCUGACUAAGAAGCCCCGGCUAACUACGUGACAGCAGCCGCGGUAAUACGUAGGGGGCCAGCGUUAUCCGGAUUUACUGGGUGUAAAGGGAGCGUAGGCGGUUUAGCAAGUCAGAAGUGAAAGCCCGGGGCUCAACUCCGGGACUGCUUUUGAAACUGUUGAACUAGAUUGCAGGAGAGGUAAGGGGAAUGCGUGGUGUAGCGGUGAAAUGCGUAGAUAUUAGGAGGAACACCAGUGGCGAAGGCGGCAUGCUGGACUGCAACUGACGUUGAGGCCCGAAAGCGUGGGGAGCAAACAGGAUUAGAUACCCUAGUAGUC